UACGUAGGGUGCGAGCGUUGUCCGGAAUUAUUGGGCGUAAAGAGCGUGUAGGCGGCCAGGUAGGUCUGCUGUGAAAACUCGAGGCUCAACCUCGAGACGUCGGCGGAAACCAUCUGGCUAGAGUCCGGAAGAGGCGAGUGGAAUUCCUGGUGUAGCGGUGAAAUGCGCAGAUAUCAGGAGGAACACCAAUUGCGAAGGCAGCUCGCUGGGACGUUACUGACGCUGAGACGCGAAAGCGUGGGGAGCAAACAGG
rnacentral:rRNA from 1 species